rnacentral:lncRNA from 1 species
GUUGGAUCCUGCUCCAGCAGCUCCGUCCGGCUGGGCUUCGUCGGGCAGUGGGGGCGCCUUCCCGGCCGAGGCCCUUGCACCCUGAGUUGGGACAGGGGGACGUGCAUGGAGCCGCCGGGAGGCCUGGGUGUGGGAGGCGCCUUCCCGGCCGAGGCCCUUGCACCCUGAGUUGGGACAGAGGGGACGUGCAUGGAGCCGCCGGGAGGCCUGGGGUGGGGAGCGCAGCCCGCAGCCCGAGCUCUCGGGGGCCGUGGGGGCAGGAGUGCCC